UGGGGACUAUUGGACAAUGGGCGAAAGCCUGAUCCAGCCAUGCCGCGUGUGUGAAGAAGGUCUUCGGAUUGUAAAUCACUUUAAGUUGGGCGGAAGGGCAGUAAGCGAAUACCUUGCUGUUUUGACGUUACCGACAGAAUAAGCACCGGCUAACUCUGUGCCAGCAGCCGCGGUAAUACAGAGGGUGCAAGCGUUAAUCGGAAUUACUGGGCGUAAAGCGCGCGUAGGUGGUUCGUUAAGUUGAAUGUGAAAGCCCCGGGCUCAACCUGGGAACUGCAUCCAAAACUGGCGAGCUAGAGUAGGGCAGAGGGUGGUGGAAUUUCCUGUGUAGCGGUGAAAUGCGUAGAUAUAGGAAGGAACACCAGUGGCGAAGGCGACCACCUGGGCUCAUACUGACACUGAGGUGCGAAAGCGUGGGGAGCAAACAGG
rnacentral:rRNA from 1 species